rnacentral:lncRNA from 1 species
UCUUCCUUCCCUUGCUUCCCAUUUGGUUCAGAAGACACAUGUUUUGUAUAAUUGAGAGUAGCGAUAGAGGGGUGUGUUCUGAAAUUCUGGUUAAUUUCCCUCAGGGAACAAAGGACAGCAGAGAGCAUGGCUUCUACUCACCAGAAUAGACUGCAUUGCUUUCGUAGAUAUGUGAACUGGCCUUGAUGUCUAGGGUUAUGGUGUAGUAUUCAUCAAAGGUGAAGCAGGUGCUACUGUACCUUAUAAAGGUGGCAGAAGAAAGCUGCAGACUGAGGCACAGAAACAUCCCCAGUGGCUGCAGCAGCAUGUCAUGGAAGACUGCCAUGGUCUCAGUCUGUUUGGAAAGUGCUAGGCCUGGAAUUGGGUGAAACUGACAACUCACCUCUUGUUUAUAUGCCAGGGCUUCUGGGUGAAGUCAUACAUGCAGAUCUUCUCCCUGCCCCUUCUGAAUAUACAUUGGAUUCUGGAAUUUGGCCCAAGACAUCACCAGGAAUGAAUCACCAGUCACCAUUACCUGUCACCGAUGAUUUUGCAAAUUGCAGUUUUGCUCAAGAAAGGGAAUGUCCUGAAUAUGGUUUUCUUUUACGCCUGUCAUUUCAGCAUCUGCUGUUUGAAGAAAGCCAUUGAGAAGAUGUGAAUACCAGCAAGUGAAAUUCAGAGUUGUGUAAAAUGUAAAAUAAACCCCUGAGGAAUGAGAUGUCUAUAGGGGGUUUGAAAAGCUUGGACGAAUCCCUGGGAAUCUAAAAAGCCAUGUGCAUGUGCAGGGCUACACACAUUCCCAGGAAAGACCUGAGGAGGCCCUAAUUACUCACCUCUGGCCGACCUUGAGGCUCUGCACAAGUAAGAAGUAAAGGCUAAGGUAGAGCUGUAAACUGCCUAUCUGAUCACUGAAGGCAUUCCCCAAAACACACAUGCAGAAGUGCUUAGCAAAGACUGGGAGACUUGUUGGUUCCAGAGUUAUUAGUUAAAGAAAUUUUUUAAAAAUCUAUUUAUUAGCUGGUCAAUAAGCAAACAGAACAGAGACUUUGGUGGUUACACAUGAUAAAGAAUACAGACUUCACAUAAUUAAUUUAGGAAAGUCAUAAAACAAACAGCAGCAACAACAACAAUAAAAAAGAAUAACAAACAGCAAAAAAAAAAAAAAAAAAAAAAAAAAAA